GAUUGGAUGCUGGAUUCGGCUCAUUUAUCGCCAUUGGAUGCUCGCGCUGUCAUUCUGAAUCUGUUAUUGCCACUUCCCGCGCCAUUCGGCGUGCACGCGCAAGACAAGCAGGCACGUAACCGCUUGGAGACUGUCUGGAGUCUGUCUGAAAUUGAUAAAAUUGGGAGAUGGAGUUUUGCAUGUCUUUGCACAUAUUCAAGGAAGCCGGCUAUUGGAAAUGGGAUUUUCUUUGCUCUCUCCUCCUCAAACGCCUUCGCCCAUGAGUCGCCACGCUCAGACAAAAUAUUUUUUUAGAUAAACGCUGUGAAAGUUUUUUCUUCUGCAGUCUACCAGCAGACAGCUCUGCUGUACAGGGGAGCAGCCCUCAGCUCAGCACCUGGAGGUCAAGAGGAGUGCACCAUCCAGAAGGCAGCCUCCAACAGCUCACAAAGGCCUGUCCCAAACCUGAUCCAGUGUCUGACAAAAAUGAUUGGAAUUGCAAUUAGAAAGGAGAUCCAUGGCGUCUUGCAGCCUUUCAUGCCUUCAUGUCUUCGACGCUGGAGUGUGUCCGCUCAAAUGAGUCCCUGGUUUUGGCCUGAACCACAACAUAGCCCAAUGUGCGAAUUGGCUUUGAUGUUGAGACUGUUCCUCAGGAAUGAGUGUAGCGAUUCCACCAUCAUGGCCGCCACUACCAACCCCGCCCUCCUGCCUGCCACUCAACAACAGUUAAAAUGGCAGCAUGCAGCAAAAUGAGUCUGGCUGCCACUUCAUAACAACUAUAUUGUAAGGCAUUCCACAUCCAAACUGCAGUGUGGAGAAUUUUGAGUGUAGAGAGCUGGUGGUGGACUAGGAGGAAGAUGUCAUGCUAAGGAUGGGUUUUGGUGAUGAUGUUGCUGCUAUUGAUGCAGCAUCGAGCUCUCACUUUGUGCCUCUGUCAGCUAUGAUGCGUAACCACAAAGUGAGUGACAGGCCAGUCCCCGGGGAGAGCAGGGGGCCUGAGGACGGCACCGGGCUUGAGGGACUGCUCGGCCGGCUCUCUGGCGUUUGAGCCGAGGGCUGCGCGUAAAAUAAAAGGGCAUCGAGGAGGAGCAGAGGAGCAGCAGGACUGAGACUGAGAUUGUCUUACACGUCACCAGCGCUCAGUACUAUGGAGUACUACAAAAGGUGACGCGCAGAAGGAGGAUUUGUGAAUGGACGCCGUGAUGUGUGCCAGCUCACAGAUCAGAGGGCGGUGGGACCUCUGCAGAUGCAAACUGUGAGCCCCCUCACACCCCACCCCUACCCCAGCACCCCUCCCCUCUCUCUCCCGGUUACCAUCCCUCCCUCCAGAUGAAUGGGGGUCUCUAAGAUAUCAGUUCUGUCACCAUGCAGGGGUCGGACCAAAUCCUCCAGCUUCCUGUGCCUUUCAAAACCUGAAAGCACGUCUCUCCUAUUUGAUGAUCCUAUAUGAUUUUUUUGUUGCGCUUUUGUGGGCCUGGAAGCUCGCUGCCCUUUGUUUCCCAUCCCGGGUCAGCCAAGAGCAUGGCAGCCGAAUUAGAAAAGAUUAGGAGCGGGCCUAAUUGCUGUAGGCCUAUAGUCCACACUGCAAAAAGUCAACCAAUUUAAAAAUAAAAUCUAUCUCAAAUAAAAUUUUAUAAUUUGAUGAGGGAGUUCCACCUGUUUCCAAUGGCCCAUUGUUUUCCAAGAUUAUUCAGUAGGCUAAGUUUUGUGUGUUGCAUAUGGGAGAAAUGGGCAGAUCACAUGGAGAUAAUGUGGGGGGAAAGUAGAUUUGGAUUAGAAACCAAUGCAAUUAUUUGAUCAUAUUUUUUAAAAAAUGUCUUACUUCAAGAUAUAGUUAUUUUUGCAGUUUCAUCGUUUAAUAACGAGCCACUGCCUGUUUAGUAGGCUACUAUUGCUUCACUUUACUGGUCAAAUCUUGCUGAAAUACUGUUAUAUGUAAAGCUAAUUUAGUUUAACUCCUAAACUACUUGUUAUUCUUGUAAAAGUCAUAACUUGAUAUAAAACUUGAAUUUGGAUUUUUAUUUAAGGGAAAACAUGUAGUGAGAUGGUGCUUCUCAAAGUCUGGUGUAAUCCAUUUAUUUUUCUGUUUCUGUUGGCGAAUCGCCCUCCAGAUAUCAUCCUUUACUCCACUAUUUAUUCAUCAUACAUCUCUGUAUGUAGAUGAUGUCUAUAUAAAUGUUUCCAUGGUGGGAAUGUGUUUACAGAGAAAUCCUCUGGAGUCGCCACGCAGCGGACUUUGGGACUGCUGAAUCUUCUGGUUUCAGCCCUUUAUCGGUUUUAAUAACUCUUAAUCCGUCUGAUCGCUCUGGCGAAGAUAAGUCUCAUUUGAAUUGGGAUUGUUCUUAAGGAGCGGCUCGUAUUUCUCCACAGAAGUCUCAAACAGAGCUUAGCACAAACAACUGCACCACCCUGAGCGCAAUUAAGGCCUCAGCUAAAUUAGAUGAAGGCUAAUUGAAUGCAGCUGACUUCCUAUCAGCAAACUCUCCAAUGCUUCACUGAUAUGAGAAUAACGUGCAGUGGCUUUUAUUUACAUUUUACAGGAGGAUAUAGCCUAUUUCUUGAAAAGUCAGAAAAGUGAGUUUUCUAACAGACAAAGCAGAAGCACUCCUGUCUCGAUUUACAUCCUAUCUGAGGGGGGCAUUGAAAAAGUUUCAAGACGUAAAACUAAAGGGUAAAGAAAAGGUUCUAUAGCUGUGGUUAAUUGAGGUGUGUUGCAGAGUGGUAGGACACGUAAGCAAUAUAAAAAUUAUAAUUUAGCCCUAUACUGUGGCGGGUUUAGUCAAUUUUGUAGUUAUUUCUGGUCACAUAGUAGAUUAACAAAGUGAGUGAUUGGUGAACUAAAUAAAAUCCUAAAUAGGCUUAUUAUGAGUCCAUGCUUGUCUCCAUGAGACAAAAGCUAGAUGAAGAAUAUGAGGAAUAUGUGUGUUCAGUGUCUCAGUGUUUUUUUGCCAACUCAGGAAGCUUAAAUCGAAAAAUAAAACCAAAAAGACAUACCCUACCCAAAACAAAUUAAAGUAACAAUAGUAAACCUAACACAAAAAACAAGGGGAGUGAUAAUAAAACAACAUGGCAGCGCUCCCGACACAGUAAUUCAACACGUUAGGAAAUUCUUGCCAAAAGUAAAUUGCUUUAAAUUGAAAUUCACUGUCAUUGUUUUCCUUUUAUUUUGAAAAAUAUUUAAAGGCAAAUGAGAAAUGAGCUUUUUUUUUUACCGGCCCAUCCUAAAUUGUCACUGUAAGAUCCAAUAACAAAGUGAAUACAGGGUUAAAAGGAAGAAGACUCACAUUAAAACGCACAAAGAUGGUUAACCACUCUUAGGGGCAGGUUUCCCCUCUGAACUCUAUAACUUUAAAACUAGUGUUUCACUAUUAUUUUAAUGUCAAAAUGAUAGUCUUAAAAGUCAUAUUUUCGUUUUGUUUUCUGAAGAAUUUCCUCACAAAAGAUUAUUUAAGCCCCAGUCCCCCCUCCAUAUGCAUCAGGUAGCCUAGAUAAAGUGUUAUCUGCGUGGUAACCAACUGGUGUCAGGCCCACAGUAUUCUUCACAUACAGGCCUACUGUAGUUUUCCAGCUGUAUUUUUCAGGUGACGGAACGUCUUCACUUGUGACAGCAAAGAAUGACCUGCACGUGGUGGCUAUUCCGGUAAGGUUAAUGGGUUUACAUUCUCAGUCAUACAGAACAAAUAGGCUACCACGCAACAUAGGGAGGAGUGGGGGAGUUGAGAGCGACGUCCUAAGUCUACGUAUAAAAGAAAAGCCCAUGUAAAGUAAAAGGUGCACCACAGCAGCAGCGGUGCGCCGCAGUCUCCCUGAAAUUCAGUGACCUACACUCACUUACUGAGCUCGGUGGCCCCAAAAGUUUUUGGUCCUUGAUGCUCAUGUGCACCCAGGGUGUUUUACGGGGUUUGGAUCGUCCAAAUUCCUCGUGCACCUGUCUCGAGCUUCUGCAGGCGUUUAUUAGGAGGGAGGAACAAGUGGGAGAGGGACAGGUGGAAAGCACUUGAUGCAGAAUAAACUCAUUAAGCAUGCAGGCAGGGCAGUGAAAUAUUCAUCGCCAGGCAAAAAAUUAUGAUAUUUUAUGCUUUAGAUUGAUUUCUUAGAUUGAAGUCUUCAUGUAUAUAAGUUUGCAACCAUUACAUCUCUGCAAGGUGCAUUCCCCCCCUAUAAAACAACACAAAACAUGUUAAACUAGAGGCAUGACAGGCCUGUAUUUCCCCAGUAGUUUUCAUCUUCAAUUUAAUCAACUCCUAAAGUAAAUUCAAACUGUAGAAUUUCUUAGUGGAUUUAUUUUAUUUAUUUUUUUACUAUCCGGACAGUUACACAUGUCAACCCAACAGGCCAGAUGUGAUGCAGCUCGGAGUUUUAAAAGUUACACCUUUUACUGAAAGUGCUCCAAAGAAAAAUCCAGCAUGCCAUCAAGUUGUUUCUCCCGUUUAUUUACGUUUCAUUCUAAAUGGGAGAAACAAUUUCUGUUAUGUCUCUGGCUCCAGCUUGCAACUUUAAUUAUAGUGGAAGGAGGUCAGUCAUAAGCGGUUAUUCGACCCUUCUCCCUGUGUGGCAUCGCGCCCUGCGCCGUUUAACUCGCCAAAAUAGUGCUGGACUCCCCUGAAAGCGCCAUGUGCGAUGGAGUCCCUUUCACCCCGUGUGCACCUGAGUUGUUUUUACCCCCCAGUCGCAGAUAUGUUGUGAAUUUGUCACUUAUCAGGGGGCGGGCUGUCAAAGGCCAUUUCAGGCGCAAUAACUUUCCCAGAUGGAUUUAGCCUGCCAACUUUGUGCAUCUCUCAGCAGCGAGAUGAAUAGGCCGCAUGCCUGUUGCUUCCCAGAAAUGCCUCUUACGCCUACUAAUGAAGACUAAUUAAAACAUGACAAACAUCGGCCUUUAGUGCACCCUGAACAGGGCUGCAAGCAUGAUUUUGAUUAUGCAAAAAAAAAACUCCUCCAGUCUUUGACACUGUAGGUGACAUAUAGGACAUCUUUCUUUAUGUGUGUCCAUGAGCGGAUCAGUUUUACAUUUGGUGUAGGUUUGUGUGAUGUCUGUUACACAACCCGUUUGUGCUUUUGAUUUUUUUGGAUACAUAGUCUGAAUGACUUUCAAAUGUGAUAUUUUUAAGAAUAUGUGUUUCACAUAUUCUUAAUCUCAUAAUCUUAAAAUCAGUGAGUAAAUAUGUUUAAUCCAGAUAGCCAAAGAACCCCCUCAUAUUUAAUUAUUUUUUAUUAUUUAUAGUAAACUAAGGGAUGAGCAUGGAUAUUGACCUGUGGUGUAAAUAUUUAGCCUUCUAUCAAUGAGUUUCCACCAAAUGCUGAAUUUUGUUGUUGGUUUUGCCUCUCAGGAUAGAUCAUGCAAUGGAAAUGCUUGCCUUGAUCUAUUCCAUUACCUUAGUUAUUAUUAUUACCCUGCUUGAUUUACAGAGUCUGAUCUGGGCUGUGAGAUGCACUGGGUGUGUUUAAUUUACACUGGGAAGGAUUUGUUUGGAUGGCAUGCAUAAUGUGCCAUCACCUGAGGUUUAUGUUGUCAUUUUUAUUAUUGUCCUGCGGAGGAAGAAGAGGAAUCAACGGGAAUGGCACACAAGGCUGAGCACGCUGACUGAACUGAUAAAUCCCACUGUGACAUGAACUGUUGUUUACACUGUUAAAUAUGUUGCUAGUCUAUUCCCUGUGUUUUUAUGUGGAUGUUUUGCUUACAUCUCUUUGAUUUCCCUGUGAUUUAACCCAAAGCACCGGAGGAAUGACCCCCCCCUCCAAAAAAAAAUAGAAAUGAGUAAAUGAAGAAAGGGUGUGAUAAUUUCACCCCAAACAGGGAUACAUAGAAAAAGCGGAGAGCUGCCUGAGACUGCCAUUUGAAUGGGAUCCGAGAGGUCAUUUGAGCUAAAAUGGAGUCCACUUCUGAGCCACUCACACAGCCCCCCCAUGGCAUCCACUGUAAUUCAUUAUUCCUGGCCGGCACUGGGAGAGGCAAUGAGCGAGGGCAGAGGACAGGAGUGGACCCAGCUCUGGUGUAAUGAAGACUCAGUAGACCUAAACGACCCACACACAGACACACACACUUACACACUCACACACACCCACCCACACACACAAUCUUUCAUUAUAUAUCACAGAGAGCAGGACAUUAAUGCCACUGAAGACCUUUUGGCAGAGAAAUAAGAGUGUGCAAUGAUUUUCUCCACACUCAAUCCAUUUCAUUGACCUUUUCCAUCAUGCAUGUGACUCUACCCUGCUCACUGCAGUGUGAGAUAAAUAUUCCAAGAAUAAUAUUCCUGCUGCUGUUUAAUAAAUUAUCUUUUUGAAUCUGAAUUUUUAUGUUCAUCAGUGCAUUUUGAGAGGCUUUAAGUAAAAUCUGUAUUUUAAAAAAAACAUUUACUGAUAUGAUUUGAAGUUUUCUCCCUCUUUUGUAUGCAGCAUUUGCACACUUGAACAUGCAUUUUUAAACAUGGAGUUUGUUAUCUUAGAUCAAUUAAAUACACUCUAUCUAUGUUUUGUCUAAAGGCUCAGGAGAUUUACCUUAAUUAGUAUUCAUAAAAGUAGUUGGGUGAAUAGGUUUUUGCCUAGCAAGACCCUGCUGGUCCUUGUCCCUCCACUAGGAGUCCAUAGAUGUCUGGGUAAUACUGUCCAGACAACCUAAGAGGAUAAAUACUGUCAUCUGGUGGUAACAAAAGCAAUCACUACUCAAUAGAAAGAAUGUGUGCCUCUUAAUAUCUUUCCAUUCUAUGUAUUUAACUUUUCAACAUAAAAACAAGUUGCUUAGAUUUUACUUGGUCCCAAAGGACCAAACAUCAUUUUGGCUCCAGAGUAGGAGCGUGAGUCAAAGCAAACACUUGUCAAGAUAAAAGCACCUGAGAUGCUUUUAAAUGCAUGUGUCAGGCAGAGUGAGGGGACAGCAGCUCCCUCUGCUAGGAAGUUUACAACAGACUUCAGAGGGAGUCAGACCACCUGUGUCCACAAAGUCUGAGUCAGAAACCGCUGAAGGGCCCCUAAGGUGAGAAGAAAUUAUUAUACAAAAGUUUGAAAAAGUAAUUUAAAGUGGAUGACAGUCAUUGGCUCACAUGAAUGUAUAUUAGCUAAAGGUUUUAAUGGGUAUUUUGAGGUCUGGUACUAUUUUUACUUUGAUAGGAUUAUUAUGAGUCUUUCAAGGUUAUUUUGUGUUUUUGAUUUUAUUUGACCCAGAUCUCUGAAUGUGUAUCACUGUUUUUAUGUUCUAAUAUGUUUUCUUUCUUUCUUUCUAUGAAAUCUAAAGAGAUGUAUUUAUUUAUUUAUUUUUUACACAAAAUAACAAUUUCAUAUGGCUGUACUGAUUUUGCAUGUCUGCUGUUUUCUGCUGUGUAAAAUUGUAAAUGCAAAUGAAGCCAGAAAGAAAACAACCUAAUCACAUAUUUAAAUCACAAAAGUAGUUUAGUAUUGAGUAUUAAAAUAUUACUUGUGCGUAAACAGCAUAGUUGUUAACUAUGCAAAUCAAUAAUUUUAUGUGACAUUAGCUUAGUAGUGAUCCUCCUUUUUGAGAUAUCAUGUCAAGAAAAGUCUCACAACAAAUUCCAUUGGGGAAAGGCUGCAUAAAUCACCAAAAAGACACAAUUUUCCACUUAUUUUAAGAAAGACAUGAUUUAAAGAUUCCUCUUAAGUAGCACAUACACAGUAUUCUAUCAGUAUAUCUACCUUUGCUUCAAAUGGCAAUAUUCUAGAUGCCUUGUACCUUGUUUUAGAUACGUUUCCCAAAAUGUAUCCUGACAUUUGGUAUCUUUCUUUGCUAGAAUUUAAAAUAAACUUGUGUGGAUUUGAGCAAUGUUUGACUGCGCAGCAUGAGUCUGUACUGACUGACCCCACUGGUGGUCCUCUGCUUGUUAUCUUCAAAUGACUUUUAUAGAAGGUAGGCACUGUGCAGCCUGUUAUAUUUUAUAAGUUGUUAAAUGUUAACAUCACUGUCUUCAUGUUUACUGGCAGUUGACUCACAGCAUCAAAUUAGAGGCUCAAUAACAGACCUGACAAAACGCAAUGGUGCUGUGAGGAGGUGAAAUUGAAGAGUCUAGCAGGAGAACCUAUAGAUGGCUCAAAUCAAUAGAUCAGAUGUGCCCCGGCCUGUCUUCUCGCCUUGAAGGAAGGAUAGAGAGAGUACAAGGAAGAGAGAGGGGGUUGUUUUUGGCAAUAAGGAGGCGCUCUAAUGGAGUCUUUCAGUGUGCUGUGGCUGGUAAUGAAAGGAGGUUGAAGCCCGGCCAAUUAUUUUGCCCGAGAAGAGGAGGAGACUGAAAGAGAAGGGAGAGCGAAGAAGAAGUGGCGUGUGGCGCUGGAUCGUUGGCCUGUCAGAGAGAGAGAGAGAGUCAGACCCAUAGAUACAUAGAGAGAGGGAGAGAACAGACAGAUAGAUAGAUAGACAGAUAGAUAGAUAGAUACCCCAGAACGAGGGGUUCAUUCAGAACAGCCCACAGAUAUUGGCCCCACUCCCAGAAAUUUCCCCCAGUGCAAAAGGUUAACUGUCAGUCCCCCGCUAGGUAUAAAUAGAAGUCUGCCCUCCAGAAAGGCGUGUUCAGAGAGGGGGUAGACAGAGGAGGGAGGAGGCCCAGUUCCUCAUGAUCCCAGUGACACACAGGAGGUGGGGGGUAGUUUCAGGGGUUUUGGGAGGGCGGAGGCGGAUGGAAGGGUCUUGCAGAGGAGAGCAGAGAGAGGAAAGAUGCAGCCGAGGACAUUAUAAUGGCUCUGGAGACUGACAGGGACCCCAGACAAAAGAGUGUCCUGAUCUAUUCAACUUGGCCGUGACAGCAGACACAACAAAUGCCAUCAUCAGCACCCCAGAAAGCUCGGGUGCAAUUGAGCUGCGGCCGCAUUUGAAACCCUUAAAAAAAAAGAGGGCUAUUGUUUUACUGAAGCUGUUCAGACAUGUAAUUAGGCUAGGGUCUAAUCCAAGGCAAAAUCAUUUGCUGAAGCUCAGUUGCAUUAUGUAUGUUAUGUAUGUAUGUAUGUAUGUAUGUAUGUAUGUAUCAGGUUUAUAUCACUGGAAGGGAAGCUAGAGAGUGUUAAGUUCUGUUUUUUCUUUCUGGCUGAAAGGAUAUCAAUCAGUAUCAUUGAUACUGUACAAAUAAUAUACAGUAUAUACAUAAUUCUUAUUUUCAUCUUGAAUAAUAAACUAGUUUUACAUCCCUUCAUCCAGUUGCAUAUGUGAGUGAUGACUACAUGCAGAUGUCCUUGUCAGGUGUUUUUUUAUUUUUCACUUAAAUCCAUGGUAGCAAAAAUGAUACACAGCGGAAAUAUCAGACACACAAACUCCGAAACAUCGAAACAAAAGGUGCUUCACCACCUCAAAAAAAUAAAGCUUCCUCUUCAGUUUAGCACACCUGAAUGUGAGCAGAUUCAACUUGACGUGAUCUGCCAUAAAGAAGUACUUAAAAAAAUAAAUCAGGUUUCCUUCAAUAAUGCUACUAUUUGAGACUUUUUACAACAGCUUGACACAAUAUUUUUUUUUUA